GGUGAGUAACACGUAUCCAACCUGCCGUCUACUCUUGGACAGCCUUCUGAAAGGAAGAUUAAUACAAGAUGGCAUCAUGAGUCCGCGUGUUCACAUGAUUAAAGGUAUUCCGGUAGACGAUGGGGAUGCGUUCCAUUAGAUAGUAGGCGGGGUAACGGCCCACCUAGUCUUCGAUGGAUAGGGGUUCUGAGAGGAAGGUCCCCCACAUUGGAACUGAGACACGGUCCAAACUCCUACGGGAGGCAGCAGUGAGGAAUAUUGGUCAAUGGGCGAGAGCCUGAACCAGCCAAGUAGCGUGAAGGAUGACUGCCCUAUGGGUUGUAAACUUCUUUUAUAAAGGAAUAAAGUCGGGUAUGGAUACCCGUUUGCAUGUACUUUAUGAAUAAGGAUCGGCUAACUCCGUGCCAGCAGCCGCGGUAAUACGGAGGAUCCGAGCGUUAUCCGGAUUUAUUGGGUUUAAAGGGAGCGUAGAUGGAUGUUUAAGUCAGUUGUGAAAGUUUGCGGCUCAACCGUAAAAUUGCAGUUGAUACUGGAUAUCUUGAGUGCAGUUGAGGCAGGCGGAAUUCGUGGUGUAGCGGUGAAAUGCUUAGAUAUCACGAAGAACUCCGAUUGCGAAGGCAGCCUGCUAGCUGCAACUGACA
rnacentral:rRNA from 1 species